GGGUUAGUAUCUGAAAACACACUUCAAAACAAACAGAUAAAAAGAGACCGAAUACGAUUCCUGUAUUCGGUCCAGGGAAAUGGCUCUUGGGAGAGAGCCGUGCGCUAAAAGUUGGCAUUAAUGCAGGCUAAGUCGCCUUGCCCUUUAAGAAUAGAUGACGACGCCAGGUUUUCCAGUCCACGACGAAAGUGGCCGGUAAAAAACGACCGUUGUCAGCCGCAACAACGAAAAAACCGCAAGUUCCUCUGCAUG
rnacentral:misc_RNA from 1 species